UCUACAUCAUACAACCCCACCCUUCCUGACGGCUUGACUCAUUCAUUAUCAGGAUGUUAUGGCUACAUUCACAAUUGUAUCUUUAUGACUGUUUGGAAAUGAAUGAACCCUGAAUGGAUUUUAACAUGGUAUUGGCUACAUAACGUCAUUCGACAACACGAGGCCGCUUGAGAAAUCGUAUUGCCAUGCGACAACCACGAAAGAAAACCACGCGAACUGCCAUCGGUGUUUAGCCAUUGACAAAAUACAACUAUGGGCCAGGAACGGCAGUCGCUCCUCAACUCCCUCUACCCCCCGCACCAGCCCUCAACAUGAGGCGAACAGAGGAGCCCUCUUCAAGCCUGGCCUACAGACCAACAUGGCGAGGGGGAAGAAUGACCGAUACCAUUCCCUGCUCUGUGGCUGAGGUCCACAUCCUUAGCCUCUGGAGAGCAUAAAACGGCAACAAGACCAGGUUGUGGCAAAGAUUUCUUCUUUGGCCACCAUUGGAGGUCAUGAUGUGAAGAGGGUGACCUGGAACAUCCUGGCCAGGCUCUUCGCAGAUGAGGUAUCUCAUCAGAUAAACUGGAAGGGUGUUAAUAACAAAAUGUCCUUCAGUAGGAUGGCAACGAAGAUCUUGCUUUUCAGUAAGUAUAUAAUUAAAAGUAAUAUUAAAUACGUUCAAAGUCAAUAGUUUGUAAAUGUUGGGGCAGCCUUAAAAAUCGUAACAACCAUCUGUCAAUAUGACCAUGUAGCCUUUGUUAGACUGGCUACUAUACCAUAGACCUUUUUCUUUUUUACGUUUGAUGUUUUUUUAACUUGAAAUGACUCAGUGAGCUGCCGAUGGCUACUUUGCAUAUGCAAUUUUCAAUCAGGAAGGCCUAUGCCUGAUUGAUUGUUUAACACAAUGCAAUAGUUAGUGCAUCUGUGAAAACCUGACAUGGUCAUUUAUUUAGUAGGGGAAAUAGGAUACUAAAAAUAUUCCUGUUAACUAAAAGGGCAGUGCAAUAAUGAUAAUAAUAAAAAGCCUACCUUUCUGACAUGUAGUAAAUCUUUGAAAUUGCUGUGGGAUCCCCUCUGCUGUGAGACUCCCUCCUUUUGAUUCCUUCAGUUUGUCGCUGGCACUGUAAACAGCGUUGACCAUUGGUGCGCUUCUAGAAAGUGAUGCUAACUUCCGGCACAAUCUUGGGCAAGACAGUGGCAUACCUGCAUUUGUGCGAAAGAGCGCAACUACGGUCGAAGUUUGGGGGUUGGAAUCACAGUGGAUUGUCAUGUCAAGAGAAACACACCCCAGGUGUGGGCAACAGGCCCAUCAUGUUAUCGAAGUAAACGCACGCAAAUGUAUUGGCUGCCUGGUGGUUGUGAUAGCUUCGCUCGCAUACAUUUGUCUUGGCUCUCCAUAAUAAUAAUAAUAAUAAACACUGAUGGAAUGCAGUUUUGUGUUGGUUGUAAAUGACCAUGUGAGUUGUAUUUUAAUUUAGUGUUGCUUAUGGAAUGGUUAAUCUAACACUAAGGUCUCUGCUGCAACAUAUAGCUUGAAUGUUAAGUUGCUUUGGAUAAAAGCAUCUGCUAACUGACGUAAUGUAAUGUUAACCAGGGCUGUAGUAGAGACUAAACGCAAGUAAAUGGAGUUUACCCACUGCUCAAAUGUCAGAAAUAGAGUUUAUCCAUCUGUUAAGAGUUUACCUCCAAAUAGAAUCUAUGUAGGACCCUACCAAACUUAAAACAUUACACAUGUAAUGAUCUGCAGAGUAUUGGGAAAAAAUCCCUCCUGAGAUGUGUACAAACCUGGUGGCCAAUGUGAUGGCAAUUUUAU